CGUGUGCGAUCAGAGAGAGCAUCUGAGCCAAGUUCACCGGUGCUGGGUUUUAAGGAGAAGAGCCACGAGUGACACGUGGAGGAGUCCCAGAGGCUUAGUGGCAUAGAUCCACUAUCUCUUUUGGGUAUUUGAUUUAUGAUUUAUAACGUGUUAUAUUGCCAAUAUUAGGGCUUUUUCUUUAUUGAUAAUUAUAUGAAUAUAUAAAUGUAAUCAUGCCUUUCAAACUAUUUCUAUUUUUGGUAUACUUUGGAUGACUGUAAUUUUAAUAUUUGAUUUACUUUGGAUUGGUUAAAAUGGCAUGAUUAUGAGGCCAAACAACUGGCUUGUGUUGAAAAUUGACUAAAUUGUUUAUUUUAUUUGUUGGGAGUAUAAGAAUAGACAAAUGUGAUUUAGUUUACUUAUUGGGAGUAUAAGGAUGGACAAAUGUAAUUUAGCCUAGUGGCAUGUGGGAGGUAAAAAUUUAUAUGAAAUGUUGUAUUGUGCGAGUUUAAGCCAAUUAUAAAAUAUUUUAUAUUGAAAUUA